CGGCGAACGGGUGAGUAACACGUGGAUAACCUGCCCUGAGGUGGGGAUAACCCGGGGAAACUCGGGCUAAUACCGCAUGAUACCGAGAGGUCAAAGGGGGCUCGCAAGGGCUCUCGCCAUUGGAGGGGUCCGCGUCCGAUUAGCUAGUUGGUAGGGUAAUGGCCUACCAAGGCGACGAUCGGUAGCCGGCCUGAGAGGGUGAUCGGCCACACUGGAACUGCGACACGGUCCAG
rnacentral:rRNA from 1 species